UGCUGGCCAGAGCUCUUUUCACAUUGUGCUACUGUCUGCGCCUAUCACGAGCAGUGCAAUGUCAAAAGGGCAUUGGCCAUGUA
rnacentral:pre_miRNA from 14 species